CCGGCAGGGACGGCGGCUGCAGCCGCGCCGCUACCCCGGCUGCGAGCGAGCGAGCGAGCGAAGUCUCGGGGACCGGGUUCAUGCCGGGCGGGGAGAGCAGGAGCCCGGCCAGGAAGGGGCACGGAGCUGGCCGAGUCAGAUUGUAGCUAAGAAGUGAGCAGGAUGCCCCCGGGCAUCUAUUGCCCUGUUGAAUUCUGGUCCAAGGAAGAAAACCAAACCAUCCAGGUGGACUUCCUGCUGCCUACAGGGAUAUACCUGAAUCUAUCUGUAUCCUGCAAUGCCAGCUUGGGCACCAUCAAACAGGUGGUCUGGCGUCACGCACAGUAUGAGCCGUUGUAUCACAUGCUCAGUGACCCCGAAGCGUACGUCUUCACGUGUAUCAACCAGACAGCCGAGCAGCAGGAGCUGGAGGAUGAGCAGCGGCGCCUCUGCGACAUUCAGCCCUUCCUGCCUGUCCUUCGACUGGUGGCUCGUGAAGGUGACCGCGUCAAGAAGCUGAUUAACUCCCAGAUCAGCCUGCUUAUUGGGAAAGCAGCGGCAGCUGAUUAUCAAGGACCAGUGACCCUACUGCUAUGUGGAUCAUCUCUCUUCAUUUCAACACCCCACUCAGGUUUGCAUGAGUUUGACUCGGUGCGCGACCCGGAGGUGAAUGACUUCCGUGCAAAAAUGCGACAGUUCUGUGAAGAGAAGGCGGUGAAGCGACAGCAGCUGAGCUGGAUGACCUGGAUGGAAUACAACUUUCCCUUGCAACUGGAGCCCUUGGCCAAAGGUCCCAGGACCGGCCCCCUUCGCAUCCCCAACAAGAACAUCUUCGUCAACGUCAAGUUUGAGUCUGGCGGGGAGAGCUUCACCUUCCAAGUCUCCCCCAAGGAAUUCCCUGUCACGUUAAUGAGCUAUGCCAUCAAGAAGCAAGCUACCGUCUUCCGCCACCAGACAGUGGAGAGCCCUGAGGAUUAUACUCUGCAGGUGAAAGGGAAAUGUGAAUAUCUCUACGGGAACUACCCUCUGUACCAGUUCCAGUACAUCCGGAGCUGCCUGCACCAUGGUCUGAUGCCCCACCUGACGAUGGUACACUUCUCCUCCAUCAUCGCUAUGCGAGACGAGCAGACCAACUGCACCGCCCACACCCCGAAGAUGGUUUCCAAGCCUCCCCCGCUCCCCAAGAAAAAGCCAACUCACGAGUCUCUCUGGUCCCUUAAUCAGCCUUUUUACAUUGAACUGGUGCAAGGCAGUAAAGUGAAUGCAGAUGAGAGGAUGAAGUUGGUGGUGCAGGCAGGCCUUUACCAUGGCAACGAGAUGCUCUGCAAGAUGGUGUCAAGCGCCGAGGUGAAUGUGUGUUCGGAGCCAGUGUGGAAACAGAGGCUGGAUUUUGACAUUAGCAUCUGUGACUUGCCCCGCAUGGCGCGGCUCUGCUUCGCCCUCUACGCUGUCAUCGAGAAGGCCAAGAAGGCACGAUCCACCAAGAAAAAAUCCAAGAAAGCUGACUGUCCAAUAGCCUGGGUGAAUGUCAUGCUCUUUGACUACAAGGACCAGUUGAAAACAGGAGAGUGCUGCCUGCACAUGUGGUCGUCAUUUCCAGAUGAGAAAGGGGAGCUGUUGAACCCCAUGGGCACAGUCCAGAGCAACCCCAACACAGAGAGCGCAGCAGCCCUGGUCAUCUGCUUCCCCAGCGUCACACCCCAUCCUGUGUACUACCCAUCCUUCGAGCAGCUGUUGGAGUUGGGGAGGAACGGAGAGUACACCCGUGCCGCAUCAGAGGAUCCAGAGGAGAAGCAGCAGCUGAGGGAGAUCCUGGAGCGAAGGAGCCACACCGAACUCUAUGAGCAUGAGAAGGACCUGGUGUGGAAGAUGAGGUACGAGAUCCGGGACCAGUACCCAGAGGCCUUGGCAAAGCUCCUCAUCAUCACCAAGUGGAACAAACAUGAGGAUGUUGCCCAGAUGAUCUCCCUGCUCCGGUCCUGGCCGGAGCUGCCUGUCCUGAAUGCCCUGGAGCUGCUGGAUUUUAGCUUCCCUGAUCGCUAUGUUGGUUCCUUCACAAUCAACUCAUUAAAAAAGCUGACAGAUGACGAAUUGUUCCAGUAUCUGCUGCAGCUUGUCCAGGUGCUCAAGUAUGAAUCCUACUUAGACUGUGAAUUAACCAAGUUCCUACUGGACAGAGCUUUAGCCAAUCGCAAAAUAGGACACUUUCUGUUUUGGCAUCUCAGGUCAGAGAUGCACGUCCCUGCAGUCGCCCUCAGGUUUGGCCUGAUUUUGGAGGCCUAUUGCAGAGGCAGCAACUACCAUAUGAAAGUUCUAAUGAAGCAGGGGGAAGCACUUAAUAAAAUGAAAGCCUUGAAUGACUUCAUUAAAGUGAGCUCUCAGAAGGCCACCAAACCACAAGCCAAGGAGAUGAUGCAUGUGUGCAUGAAGCAGGAGACCUAUCUCGAGGCACUUUCCAAUCUCCAGUGCCCCCUGAACCCCACCGUUAUUCUUGCUGAAGUUUGUGUGGAUCAGUGCACUUUUAUGGACUCCAAGAUGAAACCAUUGUGGAUUGUGUUUAAUAAUGAAGAAGCAGGUGGAAGGGGAGUGGGCAUCAUUUUCAAAAAUGGAGACGAUCUCCGUCAGGACAUGCUGACUCUGCAGAUGAUCCAGCUGAUGGACGUACUGUGGAAGCAGGAGGGUUUGGACCUGAGGAUGACCCCUUACGGCUGCCUCUCCACAGGCGACAAGACGGGGCUGAUCGAAGUCGUCCUGCACUCGGACACCAUUGCCAACAUCCAACUGAACAAAAGCAACAUGGCAGCCACUGCAGCUUUCAACAAGGAUGCGCUGCUGAACUGGCUAAAAUCCAAGAACCCAGGUGAAGCACUAGAACAAGCCAUAGAGGAGUUCACUCUUUCCUGUGCUGGGUACUGUGUGGCAACGUAUGUGCUGGGCAUAGGGGACCGGCACAGCGACAACAUCAUGAUCCGGGAAACUGGCCAGCUGUUUCAUAUUGAUUUUGGCCACUUCUUGGGGAACUUCAAAACCAAAUUUGGUAUUAACAGAGAACGGGUUCCUUUUAUCUUAACCUAUGACUUUGUGCAUGUGAUCCAGCAAGGGAAAACUACCAACAGUGAAAAGUUUGAAAGAUUCAGGGAUUACUGUGAAAAAGCCUACAUGAUCCUGAGGUGCCAUGGUCUUCUCUUCCUGCAUUUGUUUGCACUGAUGAAAGCUGCUGGCCUGCCAGAACUCAGCUGCUCUAAAGACAUUCAGUAUCUCAAGGAUUCUCUAGCUUUAGGAAAAACAGAUGAGGAGGCAUUGAAGCACUUCAGACUAAAAUUUAAUGAAGCCCUUCGAGAGAGCUGGAAAACCAAAGUGAACUGGUUGGCACACAAUGUAUCCAAAGAUAACAGACAGUAAUUAGAGCGCCUGGACCACGCACAGGCUAGGAGAAUGUAAUAGCAGUGGCCAUGAGCCAGUUGUAUAAAGACUAUGGAACGUUGCCAUGUUGAAGAUCAAAAACCUGCACCUCAAGUUUUUGAGAAGAGUCUACAUCAUCCCAUUCUAGAUCUCUAGGGCAGAAGAGGGAUGGCAUGAGGCAAUAAGAUUAAUGUAUACACUGAAAGUUACUUUCAAUCUGUGAUUUUAGGAACAUUUUUGGUAAGUUUAAAAAUAAAAUGUUUAAGUUGUACACUAGUCCUGGGAAAAUUAUUCCCUCACCUUAGGCAUUAAAGUCAAACUGGGAUAGCGUAGCCACUACAGGCAAACCAUUUAAAACAUGGAUAGUCGGUUAUCACUUGACUCAAACUUUGUACCAUUCGGAAAGCAGAUUUUAGAACCAGAAAUUUAUUGUAGCUUAGACUUUUCAAACAGACUUAUUACCAAUAUACAGAUCUGAAAAGUUACAUCCACACUGGCUACAAACUGCAUCAGAAAGUUUACAGCCUUUCAGCAUUAGCAUUCAAUCAUGAUCAGUUUUAGUCUAAAAUACAGCAGCUACAGUAUAUGGAAGAAUAAGUCUUCUACACAUUGACAUUAACACAGGACAACUGUCAGACAUAAGUCAAAAGUUCCCCAGUUUACUUAAAACUAGCAGUUAUGUUACCACAUAAAAGUAGUCAAACCCAUAUCCCCGUUUUAGAAAUCUAAAAUUUUACAUUAAAAAACAGUAAGAUUGCGUGGGUUCUCUCCCCUGCUUUCAGGUCCAUUAUUGUAAAAGGCACUCCAGAGUCAAGCUUUACCCCAGAUAAACCCACACCUAGGUCCUGUUUCACACACUGGGAGGCAAGCUGUGUGGUAGGUAAGAAUAGGUCUGCUCUGAAAACAUAUAGAAAUAGCUGGGUCUAUUUUUCCUUCAGCUGUUCACACCCUCUGCUAUCUGCCUUUCUCCCCCCCACCUUUAACCUGCUCAAGGAACAACUAUUCAACAUUUCCCACUACUGGUAUGGAAGUUGAGCCAACAGUAAACAGAUUACAUGCAAUAUCAAAAUCUGGAACUCUGCUACCAUAAUGAGUGAAUGGAGUUCUAAUUUCACAUUGCAAGCAAAUCACGUUACCUUUUAACCCACCUCCAAAAGGUCAAAUUGAAUAAGCAGAUCUGCAUAAGACAAAGCUCUGAAUAGGAUCAAAAGCGUUAAACAGAGAACAAGACCUGCCUUACGAAAAAUCUAGCACUCACCACCAUGGGGUCAUAACUUACUUUUCGUACCUUGAAGUAGUCCUUUGCACUUCCAAGUUAGAGGUCUUUGAUCAGAAAAUCAGCCUGCCACGUCUUGGAACAAUAAUCUUAACUCGAUCGAUUUACUCUGGUUGGAUAAUAUAUGCCAUAAUUUCAUCAGCAGGAAAACAGAUUUACUAAGUGUAAACAAAAGGUUUAAAUACACCAACAGUCUAGAUUACUAUACGAGGAGCUACAGGGACUGUGUUGAAUAGAAAUGAUGCCAACUAUGCCCACCCAUGUCCUAAAUUAGAAAAGUUCACAAUCCAAAAAAUAAAAUCUUUCUCUAGACUGAUAGCCCAGGUCUCAGGCUUUUCAGCUUCAGUUACCAUUAUUACAGACAACUGAAUAACCUGCCCUGCCAGCCAUGUGACCAGCAAGCAGCCUUGGACUACAACCAGCCCCACUCUAAUUAACAGAGGCUCUGGUGAGAACACUCAGAAUAUCAAUAGCAAGCCUACUUGCUCUAUAUCCAGGCAGUGUUUCUCUCUCUCAAAUUUAGUAAUCCUGACACUGAAAUAAGUGAAGGAUCAAGACAAACUGUAGGAGGCAGUGCAGUUGAACCUCUGUAGAAAUUCUGAAAAACCUUUACAGUUGCAAGCUUGUCUUUUCUCUCCAUAAAAACAAAGUGAGGAGGAGAACAACAGCAGGGCUUGAGUGAACACAGCAGUUGUGGCCAAUGACACUGCAUUAUUAGUACAUCUACACUAGAGAACUGUGCCUGUGCUCCCACUGCAAUAGUUAUGCGACUUGUAGUAUUUCAUGCUUCAUGAUUUUUACCUUAGCGUGUUUUAAACCCCAGUCCCUGUUUUCACUACCACAAAUGACAUAAUUCAAUAUAUUUACAAAAUAGUCAGAAAAAGUCAAUCUUCUACAUAUUAACCUCAUUCUGCCACUUUACACAUGCACUAGUUUGGGGAAAAAAAUUCACCAAGCCGAAAUAAGCAACUUUACCCUUUGUCAACAAGUGACUUUUGCAUCUUUCAGAAAGAAUAAGAUGAAUCAAGCCAAAGUUGUUUCACCGGGGGGGGGGGGGGGGGGGAAGUGUCCAGAAACUCACGUGCAAUGGUUACACAUCUGCAGAGUCAUUUACUUAGCUGAGAUGACACGAAGAAAAAAAGUGCAAGGUGGUUCCUCACAUAGUGUAAAAAAUCCAGUCACUGAGGGAUGGGUGAGGGAGGAGAGGUGCUAACUACAGUUCUAGAGACAGCAUUAGGAACUAGCCAAUGUAACACAAAUAUUGGGAUGGGUGGUUGGCUGGCUCUAUUGGCCAAAAUAAUUUUUUUACACCAUGGAUCCUUGGGAACAAUGGAGAGGAUUACAGUGAAGUCUUCUAGAGCAGAAACAAA